rnacentral:rRNA from 1 species
AGUGAACGCUGGCGGUAGGCCUAACACAUGCAAGUCGAACGGCAGCACAGUAAGAGCUUGCUCUUACGGGUGGCGAGUGGCGGACGGGUGAGGAAUACAUCGGAAUCUACUUUUUCGUGGGGGAUAACGUAGGGAAACUUACGCUAAUACCGCAUACGACCUACGGGUGAAAGCAGGGGAUCUUCGGACCUUGCGCGAUUGAAUGAGCCGAUGUCGGAUUAGCUAGUUGGCGGGGUAAAGGCCCACCAAGGCGACGAUCCGUAGCUGGUCUGAGAGGAUGAUCAGCCACACUGGAACUGAGACACGGUCCAGACUCCUACGGGAGGCAGCAGUGGGGAAUAUUGGACAAUGGGCGCAAGCCUGAUCCAGCCAUACCGCGUGGGUGAAGAAGGCCUUCGGGUUGUAAAGCCCUUUUGUUGGGAAAGAAAAGCAGCAGGUUAAUACCCCGCUGUUCUGACGGGACCUAAAGAAUAAGCACCGGCUAACUUCGU